rfam:Pestalotiopsis fici W106-1 unplaced genomic scaffold PFICI_Scf_16, whole genome shotgun sequence.
GCCCGGUUAGCUCAAUUGGUUAGAGCGUUGGACUUUUACAUCAACAUCCUGAUGCCGCUGUCAUCCAAAGGCUGCGAGUUCGACCCUCGCAUCGGGCG